GAUGAACGCUGGCGGCGUGCCUAAUACAUGCAAGUCGAGCGAACGGACGAGAAGCUUGCUUCUCUGAUGUUAGCGGCGGACGGGUGAGUAACACGUGGAUAACCUACCUAUAAGACUGGGAUAACUUCGGGAAACCGGAGCUAAUACCGGAUAAUAUUUUGAACCGCAUGGUUCAAAAGUGAAAGACGGUCUUGCUGUCACUUAUAGAUGGAUCCGCGCUGCAUUAGCUAGUUGGUAAGGUAACGGCUUACCAAGGCAACGAUGCAUAGCCGACCUGAGAGGGUGAUCGGCCACACGAGAACUGAGACACGGUCCAGACUCCUACGGGAGGCAGGAGUAGGGAAUCUUCCGCAAUGGGCGAAAGCCUGACGGAGCAACGCCGCGUGAGUGAUGAAGGUCUUCGGAUCGUAAAACUCUGUUAUUAGGGAAGAACAUAUGUGUAAGUAACUGUGCACAUCUUGACGGUACCUAAUCAGAAAGCCACGGCUAACUACGUG
rnacentral:rRNA from 1 species